ACUCCUACGGGAGGCAGCAGUGAGGAAUAUUGGUCAAUGGACGCAAGUCUGAACCAGCCAUGUCGCGUGCAGGAAGACUGCCCCUAUGGGUUGUAAACUGCUUUUUAUACGGGAAGAAAUAUAGCUACGUGUAGUUAUUUGCCGGUACCGUAUGAAUAAGCAUCGGCUAACUCCGUGCCAGCAGCCGCGGUAAUACGGAGGAUGCGAGCGUUAUCCGGAUUCAUUGGGUUUAAAGGGUGCGUAGGCGGAAGUAUAAGUCAGGGGUGAAAGUUUGUGGCUCAACCAUAAAAUUGCCUUUUGAUACUGUAUUUCUUGAGUACAUUUGAGGUAGGCGGAAUGUGUUGUGUAGCGGUGAAAUGCUUAGAUAUAACACAGAACACCGAUUGCGAAGGCAGCUUACUAAACUGUAACUGACGCUGAUGCACGAAAGCGUGGGGAUCGAACAGGAUUAGAUACCCUGGUAGCACAGAG
rnacentral:rRNA from 1 species